UGUUGUUGCUAUGCCAGCUGGAUAUUAUAUCCCCAUGUAUCAUAUUAAUGGAAACAGCAUGUAUCUGCCAGCACCAGAUUUGAGCCGUGGUGGACUGGCCGGACCAUCGGGAAGAAGUCAGAUGGGCCAAUCUGGUUCUGGCAGACCGGCAGGGCAGCCACAUAGAAGCUGAAAAUAACCAAAAAAUGUUUGCUGUUAAUGAUGGUGACUUGGGUAAGUAGAGAGUAGAAUUCACAAGGAGGCUUGUCUCAGAAGCCCAUACACCUGAAAGGUGGUAGUAGGACUUGAAAGAUUAAUUCGGAGUUGUAGGCAUGAGUAUCUGUGUAUUCUAUGUGCGGUUUGUACUUUAGUACAUUGCCGUGUACAUGUACACCACCGUUAAGAUGUGAAGUAGCUUUAGGCAUGAGUAUCUGUGUAUUCUA